GGCUGAGUUCGCCCAGGGGCAGCGUAGCCUGGUGGGGAGCGACGUGCUCUACCUAGUCAUGAUUUCAUCUUUUUAUUUUUUUAACCCCGGAGGAGCAGCCGGGGCCGCUGUAUGCCUGGUUUGAGGCCGGAUGCGUUGUGAUGGGAGACCCACCUAGACCCGGCCCUGGUGGCCGCUGGACGCGGCGACUCAGUUAGGAAAAGGGCAGGCGGUCGGAGAGGAGAAGUCGAGGUGGCUGAAACGCGGCUGCCCCGCGGAGAUCGCGGGCCUCAAGGGACUGCCCUCCCAUCCUCCAUCCCCCGCAAGGACUAAGGCCAAGCCGCGGCUGCCGCAGCCGCCGCCCCCUCUCCCCUCGUCCCCGGUCCCGGAGGCUCUGGGGUGCUGCCGCCGCUGCAACUUUCUCCUGUGAUACCCCCUCUUUGUUAUGGAGCAGCUGAUCCGCUGACAUCACCCGGCGCCGAGGAGAAUGUUCUCUUGGAGGAGGACUGUUAGUGCAGGUGCUAGGAGCAGCCUACUUGUGGCAAGAGCCUUUCCAUGUGCUGCUUUGAAAGUGUUUGGAACCAGUGUCCAUUCCCUGCCCCUACAGAAAUGGUUCUCGAAUGUGCCUAGAAGGGUCUGGUGCCGAGGCUUUGUACAAACCACUACUCCUAGCCCCUUGAUGAUGGAUUCAGGAGAGCUUCUACUGGCUGAGCACGCCCUCUGCCCCUCACUGGUCCAGUCAGGCAGGACUUCAUCACUGAGCCACUACUCCCAGGCUCCCAGCUCCUAGCUCAUGUCCCUGCAGUGUGUCCAGUAAACUAAAUUUAGACCCCCUGGGACAACAGAGAAAGAGCCACGUGGCCCGGAUCUCUGUCUUCGUGUGCCGUGGACCACAUGACAUGCUUGCCU